AAGAAUCUUGCGGGAGAGUGCAUGACCAGAUCAUGCCGCCGAAGGCGCAACCGCCCCGGAAACGCUCAGGCCCACGGACCGCAAGCCGAAC
rnacentral:ncRNA from 2 species